rnacentral:rRNA from 1 species
UUUUUUAGUCUUGUAUCUUAAAGGCACCAGAUCCUUUUUUAUUUUGGAAGUUAAGCAGGGUCGGGUCUAGUUAGUACUUGGAUGGGUGACCACCCAGAAAUAUUAGUGCUGUAGGCU